rnacentral:lncRNA from 1 species
CCGGCCUCCCAGCCCCUGGGAGCCCCCCAGGAGUGGAUCCUGCCCCCCAGAGCCGCACGGGUGCCCCUCGCUGGGCCCCGGGAGCCGGGGGGCCGCUGCAGGCGCGUCGGCCACGCUGAUGGAUGGGGCUCCCUGGGGUCUCCUGGGAGCGGCGGGCGGCGGGGCCGGGGGCUUUGUCUGCUGCCAGAGACGCUACCGGGAAUUAGCAUCUGCCAGGGCCUCUGUGGCUGCGCACCGUCCUGCAGCAGCUCGGUAUCCUCCUCCCCGCACGGCUCUGGCGCCUUCCUCCGCUGGCACCGAGGGGCCGGGCACCCAGCGGGGUCUGAGCCCCACGGCACUCCGGGCACCCACCGCGCCCACAGAGCCCGGCCGGGACCUGCCAGGGAGAAGCUGGGCAGGGGGUGAAGACGCAGCUCGGAGCCGCUCGCCACCCCCGGCCCCGCGGCCGCCGGCAGCUCGCCCGGCACGCUCCGCAGCCCCAGGGCCAGGUCAGUGUCCAGGGAGGGAGCAGGAUGGCACAGCCACGGCCACCUGGGGUCGUGGCAGCUCCAGUGCAGUCACAGGCGGUCCCACAGCCCUCCUGCCCCACGCCGGUGGUCCCUGAUCCUGUGUGCCCCCAUCCCAGGGCAGGACUGCAGUGUGACAGUGCCAGCCCUGCUGCCAGGGGUUGGGCACAGGGAACCAGGCAGGAGCAGGAUGCUGCCACAGCCUGCCCCAGACACGGUGCCAGCACCGGCUGCUCCAGUCAGGGCGUGCCAAGAGACACGGGACUGAGAGGAGCAGUGGAUCCCAAACUGGGGCUGGGACCCGCUGGGUGCCCUCAUCCCUGUGAGGGUCCCAAAGCCGCCCCCUGCCCCGGCUCGGGCACCGGACACCGCGGGCUGCCCGUGACAGCCGGGACAAACAGCUCUGGAGCUGCCUGGCAGCAGCUCCCGGUCCCGCACCGCGCUGCCCACACCGCACCACCGCGUCCGACCGGCCCUGGGGGCUGCCCGGUGCCCGGCAGGACGUGGCGGCUGCAGCGCUGGGGCAGCACCGUCCCCGCUCCACCGAGGGAUUCACCGCUCCAGCCAACAGCGGCCCCGGCUCAGGGCACGGAGCGGCAGCGCUGGGGCAGCACUAUCCCCGCUAGCACAGGGCACGGGGGGAAUCACAGCUCCAGCCAACAGCGGCCCCGGCUCAGGGCACGGAGCGGCCGCGCUUCACACGGGGCACAGCCGCCCUUGGCCGGCGCACCCGGGCUCCGAGCCUCAGCGGCACGGCCGGGGGGGUCCGGGGGUCC